rnacentral:rRNA from 1 species
GAGCACGUAGGUGGGUUUGUAAGUCAGAUGUGAAAGCCUUCAGUUCAACGGAAGAAUUGCAUCUGAAACUGCGAGUCUUGAGUGUAGGAGGGGAGAAUGGAACUUCUGGUGGAGCGGUGAAAUGCGUAGAUAUCAGAAGGAACUCCGGCGGCGAAAGCGAUUCUCUGGCCUAAUACUGACACUCAGUGUGCGAAAGCUAGGGGAGCAAACGGGAUUAGAUACCCCGGUAGUCCUAGCCGUAAACGAUGGGCACUAAGUAGAGGGGUUUU